UACGAAGGGGGCUAACGUUGCUCGGAAUCACUGGGCGUAAAGCGCACGUAGGCGGGUCCUUAAGUCAGGGGUGAAAUCCCGGAGCUCAACUCCGGAACUGCCUUUGAUACUGGGGAUCUUGAGUCCGGAAGAGGUGAGUGGAACUCCGAGUGUAGAGGUGAAAUUCGUAGAUAUUCGGAAGAACACCAGUGGCGAAGGCGGCUCACUGGCCCGGUACUGACGCUGAGGUGCGAAAGCGUGGGGAGCAAACAGG
rnacentral:rRNA from 1 species